GACGUAGGGCGCGAGCGGUGUCCGGAUUUAUUGGGCGUAAAGAGCUCGUAGGCGGCUUGUCGCGUCGACUGUGAAAACCCGUGGCUCAACUGCGGGCCUGCAGUCGAUACGGGCAGGCUAGAGUUCGGUAGGGGAGACUGGAAUUCCUGGUGUAGCGGUGAAAUGCGCAGAUAUCAGGAGGAACACCGGUGGCGAAGGCGGGUCUCUGGGCCGAUACUGACGCUGAGGAGCGAAAGCGUGGGGAGCGAACAGG
rnacentral:rRNA from 1 species